rnacentral:lncRNA from 1 species
CUUGCUUUCUAUGUAAUAGGAUACAAGGAUUAUAUAGUACAACAUAUGAUCAAUUAUGACUAUGAUCAUACUAUCAAUUAUAGUUUACAAUCACGUUAAGAUAAUGCUAACUAUGGUAAUAUUAACCAUUGAUUAAUUACAAUUAUGCUAGAAUAUUCUUUCCAGCAAACCCACUUGAAUUUCCCCCUAAAUCCAGUCGAUACAAUAGCAUCUCUUUCAUCUUUCACAUUUUGGUAUCUAUCAUCCAUCGGUACAUAUCCCAGAGGCUAUAGAAAAGACACUUUUCCUUCACCUUCUCUCUCAAAUGCCAAAAAACAAUGAUCGAAGACCCAUCUAAUGCCUUUCUCUGCUCGAUUGAGAGAAGCUUCCACUGCCGAUAUUGUGAAUUGCGAGAUGCUCCCUCACCGAUGAUCCUAAGGCUUGAUCGAAGACCCACGGAAAGCUCAUCCACGACCCAGCCAAGGAGAUGUGAGAGCUAGAAGAGCGGAUAAUAAAAGAUAAGGAAGUGGAAAAGACCGGAUAGGAAGAGAAAAACAGAAAGGAUUUUGGAAAAAGAAUUUGAGGAUAAUUUUGUAAUUUUUAAUACUCUCUCUCCUUUGCUGCAUAUCAAGGACAUCCCUUAAAUGCCAGGCUUAAUUAUCAUCACAAAUUCAAACCUGAAUCUUAUAGUACUUCUUUACGGUUCCAAGUUAUAACAGUUAAGUUCUAUGGACAUCUCACUUUCCUCCAUUAAAUCUUCUGGUGACAUGCAUGCAAGGCUAUUUACUGUAAGCAGCUAACAAUCUUAAAAGAUGUAAUGUAAUAUAUUGACAAGGUUCUAUGAUAUUUAGGUGGAUGUGGCAGGAAAUCUUCACUUCUAACAUGGCAAGUUCUUGUCGGAGUUGAUCAGUUUACAGGGUUUGUGUGUGGAGG